rnacentral:rRNA from 1 species
GAUGAACGCUAGCGGGAGGCCUAACACAUGCAAGCCGAGCGGUAUUUGUUCUUCGGGACAGAGAGAGCGGCGUACGGGUGCGGAACACGUGUGCAACCUACCUUUAUCAGGGGGAUAGCCUUUCGAAAGGAAGAUUAAUACCCCAUAAUAUAUUGAAUGGCAUCAUUUAAUAUUGAAAACUCCGGUGGAUAGAGAUGGGCACGCGCAAGAUUAGAUAGUUGGUAGGGUAACGGCCUACCAAGUCAAUGAUCUUUAGGGGGCCUGAGAGGGUGAUCCCCCACACUGGUACUGAGACACGGACCAGACUCCUACGGGAGGCAGCAGUGAGGAAUAUUGGACAAUGGGUGAGAGCCUGAUCCAGCCAUCCCGCGUGAAGGACGACGGCCCUAUGGGUUGUAAACUUCUUUUGUAUAGGGAUAAACCUACUCUCGUGAGAGUAGCUGAAGGUACUAUACGAAUAAGCACCGGCUAACUCCGUGCCAGCAGCCGCGGUAAUACGGAGGGUGCAAGCGUUAUCCGGAUUUAUUGGGUUUAAAGGGUCCGUAGGCGGACUUGUAAGUCAGUGGUGAAAUCUCAUAGCUUAACUAUGAAACUGCCAUUGAUACUGCAGGUCUUGAGUAAAGUAGAAGUGGCUGGAAUAAGUAGUGUAGCGGUGAAAUGCAUAGAUAUUACUUAGAACACCAAUUGCGAAGGCAGGUCACUAUGUUUUAACUGACGCUGAUGGACGAAAGCGUGGGGAGCGAACAGGAUUAGAUACCCUGGUAGUCCACGCCGUAAACGAUGCUAACUCGUUUUUGGGUCUUCGGAUUCAGAGACUAAGCGAAAGUGAUAAGUUGGCCACCUGGGGAGUACGUUCGCAAGAAUGAAACUCAAAGGAAUUGACGGGGGCCCGCACAAGCGGUGGAUUAUGUGGUUUAAUUCGAUGAUACGCGAGGAACCUUACUAAGGCUUAAAUGGGAAUUGACAGGUUUAGAAAUAGACUUUUCUUCGGACAAUUUUCAAGGUGCUGCAUGGUUGUCGUCAGCUCGUGCCGUGAGGUGUUAGGUUAAGUCCUGCAACGAGCGCAACCCCUGUCACUAGUUGCCAUCAUUCAGUUGGGGACUCUAGUGAGACUGCCUACGCAAGUAGAGAGGAAGGUGGGGAUGACGUCAAAUCAUCACGGCCCUUACGCCUUGGGCCACACACGUAAUACAAUGGCCGGUACAGAGGGCAGCUACCAAGUGAUUGGAUGCGAAUCUCGAAAGCCGGUCUCAGUUCGGAUUGGAGUCUGCAACUCGACUCUAUGAAGCUGGAAUCGCUAGUAAUCGCAUAUCAGCCAUGAUGCGGUGAAUACGUUCCCGGGCCU